UACGUAGGUGGCAAGCGUUGUCCGGAUUUACUGGGCGUAAAGAGCGCGCAGGCGGUCGUUCAAGUCGCGUGUGAAAGCCCCCGGCUCAACUGGGGAGGGUCACGCGAUACUGAUCGACUCGAAGGCAGGAGAGGGUAGUGGAAUUCCCGGUGUAGUGGUGAAAUGCGUAGAUAUCGGGAGGAACACCAGUGGCGAAGGCGACUACCUGGCCCACUCUUGACGCUGAGGCGCGAAAGCUAGGGGAGCGAACAGG
rnacentral:rRNA from 1 species